ACUGUUAUUGUACACACACACACACACACACACACACACAGAGUCAGUCACAGUAUUGUACCAUUGAUAGGAGAAUAUUACUACGUGACUUGCAAGGCAUUUGAGUUUGUUUCCUUCAGUCGUAUUUUAGACGGUGUACGAAGUUGACAUGUUUGACAAAGUAAUGAAAAUAUUAUCAUAUUGGUAUCUCCAAUAUGAACUAAUAACCUGCUUAUAUAUAUUUGAACCUUGGGAGAAAAAAUUACUUAAUAGUAUCAUUGUGUUGAUUGUUGGUCUUGUUGCAUACUCAUCAUAUGUUUACCUGCCUCACUACACUAUGUCUCUGUUGACUUAUAUGAACGUCUUGGAUACAGACAGUGUGGUUGUUGAUUGUCAUUAUGCGGACAGUAGAAUUUGAACACAUUGUGAAACUCCAAUUUUUGUUUGUUUGUUUUCUGUUGCACCUUCUACCUUUAUUUUUUGUGUCUUGUUGCCUCUUGUAAUAUUUUAUCUGUAUCAUGAGGUAAUAGAGAAAGUGAUGUAUAUAUUUAUAAUCUGUUUGACUAAGUUUAACAUAAUAUGUAUUUUGAUACUUCUAUAGGCAUGAUAAAAGUCAUUAUACUUCUGUAUGUUGUAGCUUGAUAAAAGAAGCAUUGUAUUCAAUAAAACCCUUGGGAUGUAAUGUUAAUUACUUCUGAAACAUUAUUUCCUUUGACAUUAGCAUCCCUUUGUUAUAAAAUACAUCACUGUGUAGUACAUAUUUAUGUUAAUUCAGAUUUCAUAGGAAAUUUUUCAGUGAAUGAAAUUUUAUUCCAAUAUGAUCUGUGUUGUACUUCUACAAUGUUAAGUCUCUGAAUUACUGUGGUGACUGAAUAUGUGUGUAAAAGUAGAAUAUUUGUGUGUACAUAUUAAAAUGUUACAAAAAAUAUAUAUAAAUAUAAAUAUAUAUAUAUAUAUAUAUAUUAUAGGUCUUUAAAAUAAAUCAGGAUGUGGAUGCUCUCAUACUGUAUCAGGAGUACUCUGCGUGGUUGUAGUUUACGUCAGUGACACAUUGCAUUUAUAAGUCUCUGUAACAGCCCUCCCAGCCUGUCAUGUGACAAAAUAUUCUACUUCCUGUGUUUCUUAGUGUCCUCAUUCAGACCUUUUUGUUCUGUUGGAGUCUUAUCUGCUAUUCUAGUUUGAAUCAAGAAUAAAUACUUUAGACAGUAUCCCUUUCCACUUCAGAAUUUGUUGAAACUGGCUACUCCGGAUUUCAACAAUGACUACUAAAGAAUCUAGAGGAUGGAGUUCAAACCUGCAUUGACUGAUGACACCAAAAUACAGAAGGCUUUUAUGGUGACAGGUGAACUUGUACUGUGCAUUUAAAAUGCCAAUGUGGAGGUAUUCAGAGACACAAAGUAAAAUAAAGAUACAUUUUUUUUUCCUUUAAAUGAUUCUGUUGCUAUGAAUGUAGGUACUUUCAUCUCAUAGAUUGUUUCAGUGGUGUCAUAAAAGACACGUUUCGUGUAAUAACUUAUCGUUUCAGGAGAAUCUUGGAACUUUACUCUCCUCACCUCACCUCCACCCAGAAUUGUGUUGAUGACUGUAAGUGCAUUGCUUCUGGUGUUGAAUAAUAUUUAUCCAACUUUAAUUUCAUUAUGCAGUUGUCUGAACUGCAAUUUUUUUAGAAAGUCUUACAAGUUAUUUAUUAAUGAAAUAUUUUAAAAUUUCUUGCUGUAGUUGACAUUGUUUGAAUGUAGUGCAUAUAAUUGUGAUUCAUUUAAUUUCAGAUUUAAUUACAUAUAUGGUAUGGAUGUUAAUCUGCUUUAUCCCCAUUGCUAAUCAUUAUGUUAAUUUGGUAUUUACCUGAGUUGUGAGGGGUUUGCUAUGUAUUUACUUUCCUUGCCAGUAAAGAUAUCCAUCUGAAGAAAUCUAGAAAAUGCUUUAUAGGAUUGUGAGCCACGUUAGAGGGGGAGAAACUGAGAAAGAUAUGUAUUUGUAAGUACACUGCAUUUAUCAUCAUUUAUGUUAAUUGAUAGAAGGUAUUAGAUAUAAUAAAAAAGUGGACAGAAACAUUAACAAAAUAAGUAAAUGGAACACAGUCAUUAUUGAGAAGCAAAGUCAUUCAGCUACAUACAGAAAAAUUUAAUAAUGCAAAUGCAGGGAGUAUUUAUAUGAUAAAUAAUUCUCACAUACUCCCUAACAAGACAAUAACAUUAAUUUUUAUGACAUUGGCUAUAUGGAAAACAUAUCCCACCUUAAGUUUUGGAGUUGUUGACAAACUUUGGUAAUAAUAAGGUUGAUCCAUUCAAACUUGGAAGAUACCUCUGGACUGAAGUGUAUUCAUAUGUUUUUUAUAUAUAUCAAAUAGCAUAUUUGGCAGUGUGCUGCCAAAAAUACACUAGUGUGACUAUCAAAGAUUAGGGCUCGAAGUGUCAAAUUGUAAAGUCUGUUUGUGUAACGUAUGGGCACAAAAGUAUAAGUAUGACCUUAAAGCAUAAACCUAUAUGUUGUGUGUGUUUUCUUUAAAUGGCCAAUAGCAUAUUAUGUUUUUAUCUUUCAAGUAAUGUACUUAUCUGUUUGAGAAGAAUUUUAAUCAGAGCCCAGCACCCUUAAAACAAGUAUACAGAUUUCUAUGUGAAUUUUUUUGGUCUGUUUGUACUAAACAUAUUCAAGACUGGUUUGCAAAUUUGUAUUAGUGAAUUGUCUACAGAUCAUACCCAUGAAGUUUAAAGAAAUUGGUGUAAUGUUGCUGUGGAAAGCAUGUAGAUGUAUGUCAUUGUUGGUCUUAGGUUGUUAUGCUGUGUUUACUUCUAGGCAGACACCAGUGUUUUGGAGAAACAUCUUGUCUCUGAAUCUAUGAAAUGUUUGUAUGUACCUACAAGUCUACAUGGCAUUACAGCCCAGAAGACCAGUGUUAACAUUGUCACUGUGGGAAUUUCAAAUCUCACACAUAGAAUAAUGUCUGCAAAUACUGUAUCAUUAUCGGUAAAUAUUUCCUGUCACUAUAGAUGUUGGCAUGAUAUAGUUUCCACAUCAAGUUUUAGAUGUCUUCUUUAUCGAACAUAGUUGGGUAUUUAGAAAUAGAGGUGUACAAUUCUGGUGAGCUAAUGUUGUAGUACUUAUGUUUUGGAAAUUAAUUUUUUGUAUCCAUUUUGUAACAUUGUUUAAAAAUAAAAGUUGUGACAAAAUGUUUAUUUAAAGUA